GUGUCUAGAAAUUUCGAUUCCAUCUGUAUAUAAACGCACUCUCUCUCCCCCUCCUCCCCCCAACUAGUAUUCUUCUAACCGCUAUAUUCUUUAAAUUAACUGUGACCGACCCACUUCACCUACUCGAUCAUCUUCCCAUUUCGUUACAGGAGAGAAUGGAACGGAUAAAGGUUGAAGAUGAAGAAGAGGUCGUGAUUGUCGGUGGCGGCGGUGGCGGUGGUUCAUCGCCUUCAUCGUCUCCGUUUUCAUCUCCGGCGUUGGCACCUCAACCAAUGGAGGGUUUGCAUGACACCGGUCCUCCUCCUUUCCUAACCAAGACCUACGAAAUGGUGGAGGAUCCUUCCACCGAUUCCAUCGUUUCAUGGAGCAGAGCUCGAAACAGCUUCAUCGUUUGGGAUUCCCACAUGUUCUCCAGUACACUUCUACCCAAAUACUUCAAGCACAGCAAUUUCUCUAGCUUCAUUCGUCAGCUCAACACUUAUGGUUUCAGAAAGGUUGAUCCUGAUCGAUGGGAAUUUGCGAGUGAAGGGUUUCUUGGAGGACAGAAGCAUUUAUUGAAGACCAUCAAGAGAAGGAGACAUGUCACUCAUAACAUCCAGCAUCAGCAAGGAGGACGAGGACCUUGUGUUGAAUUGGGCAAAUAUGGCGGCCUCGAAGCUGAAAGAGACAGAUUGAGGAGGGACCGUAACCUACUCAUGCUCGAAAUUGUGAAGCUAAGACAGCAACAACAAUCUUCCAGAGAUCAACUCGUUACCGUCGAGGAACGGCUACAAGGUACAGAGAGGAAGCAGCAACAGAUGAUGACUUUCCUGUGUAGGGCUUUCAAGAACCCAUCUUUUGUGCAACAGCUUAUUCAGCUAAACGAACAGAGCAGAGAGCUUGGAAGCGGCGGCAUUGGGAGGAAACGGAGACUACCUCCCAGCCGGAGCACCGAAAACUUACAGGAGGAGACUGCAUCGGUGGCUGCAGCGGCAGAAGCUAUAGGCUCUCCCCAAUUUGUGAAUUUCAUCGGUCAAUCCCAGGAAGAAGUGGCCACCGUUGAAUCAGAAAUCGAGACUCUGUUCUCUGCAGCCAUUGAAAAUGGGUCGAGCAGCGGAAUUAAGGGCGAGAAGGUUGAUGCCAACAUGAGCAUGAAUAAUAGCGAUCCCGAUUUGGGUAAUAGUGCUAGCGAUUUAGCGUGGGAGGAAUUGCUGAACGAGGAUCUGAUUGCUGGAGAAGGAGAAGAAGAACUAGAUUUAGGGAAUAGUCAAUCAGAAAUUGAUGUGGAAGUAGAGGAAUUGGUUGCUCAACGGGGGAAUUGGGGUGGAAAUAUGGAGGACUUAGUGGAGCAAAUGGGAUAUCUGGGAUCUAAGAAAACCUCAAACCAGGCUGGAUUGGAUGGGUUGCAGGUAGUAGGUUCCUGGUCUUAAUGUCAACAUCUGCAUCUUCGUCUGUGCUUCCCAUUUCUGUUAUCAGCAGGGGAAGGGUUUGAAGAUGCGGGAGAAACUAAGAUGGGUUUCUUUCUUUUGUGUGUAAAUAUGAAAAGGGUUCAGAACCAAGACGUGCUCUUCUUCCCUCUUAGGUAGAAUGGAGGAUUGUUCUCGUAGUCUCAGCUGCCAAUGUUUAUCCCAAUCGCUUCUCUGGAUUCCCUUUCCCUUUCCAUCCCCUCUUUUCUCUCACACUUUCUACCCUUUAUUUUUGGUGUUGAAGCUACUGUUAGUACAGACUGAAGCUUUUACUAAUUUUGUACAGCUUGGUGUUUAAUAACUAAUUUACGUAAAUCCAUCAGUUUUCAACUACAGGCGAAGAUAAGCUAAUACAUGGGCAGAAGAGUUUGCAGACCUCAGAAAAAAACAAGACUUGAUUAAAUUUACAGAGUCUGAUUUCACCACAAUGUUCAGAACCUCAACUCCAAAGCAAGCUGAAGACCUAACCUCAUGGCUGGAGGUUCAGAAAAGAGGGCAGAUCUGAGCAAAAUUUGUCAAUGAUCAUCCUUGAUGAGAGCACCAUAAUCACCAGUUAUACCUUUGAUAAAGGGAAUAUCAGAAUUCAGUUUAGCAUAUCCAUGUAUGGGAGUGGUUCAAAAUGAGAUUUCUUGCGAGGGAUUGUUGAUAGGAGUGUAGUCAAUGAAGGCUACCACCAAAUCCUUGCAUCAUCCUAUUAACAAAGGAUAGAGUUCCAUUAGGAUUAGUUGAAGCAUUUUUUUUUUUUUCUUGUGUGUCGGAUCUCCCAAGAGUAACAUCAAAUUGGGUUAAUUUCCUGCAAUACCUUCUAAAAGAAAAAUAUAGGAAUUCUCUAA